UGCAAGAGAUAGCCAGAGAUUUGAGAGUGUUGGCUAACCUAGCUGAAAAUGCUAGUGCUGAAUCUGAUUAUUUACUUUUUUGUGUGGAGUCUCUGGCUGACAAUUAGUUCCAGUUAGCUGCAUCUACUGACACAGAGGUUAACCCUGUAGUGUUCAGCAAUUUGGAUGAAGUGUGCCAUCGCCUGAAUAUUUCAAUCCAACAUUCAGAUACCACCAGAGCAGUUGGACGUCCUGCUCACAUACUUAGCCUAUGGAUGCUGCAGAAAGUUAUUUGUUAGCAGGUUUAUCUGUUGGUGACCUUGCAACUCUUUUUUGGGUUGGUGAAAGAACAGUUUGCCAUCGAAUAGCAGAGCAUGGGAUAAGAUGGCAAUUUGUAGUUCCUGGUGGCAUUGACGGUUUUAGCCGUCUAAUCGUGUACCUCAGCGCCGCCUCAACAGUGCUGAAUAGCUUCCUUGAAGCAGUCAACAGCUACGGAGUGCCAUCACGCGUUAGGUCUGACGGAGAAAAUGUUCAUGUGGCACUCUUCAUGGUGUCCACCAGAGGCCUAAACAGGGAAUUCCCAUGUCACUGGUAGAAGUACAUACAACCAGAGGAUAGAACUGGGAGGGGGAUAUCUUUAGGGGAGUGUUGGACCUCUUCUAUACUUAUUUCUGAAACCAGGAGAGAGAGGGUCUACUCAACCUAGAUGAAGAGAUCCACAUCUAUGCCCUGCACUGGAGCUUACUUCCACAGAUACAAAGGCACCUACAGUUCUUCAAGGACGGCUGGAACCACCAUCGAUUGCGCACUGAGGGGAAUCAGUCACCACUGCAGCUAUGGAAUCAACGUGAGGGAUAUCAUGACCCCCUCCAGGUUGACAUGGAAUACGGCAUUGACUGGGGAGGUCCUUAUGGUCACCAUCAUGAAGGAGUCACAGUCCCUGAGGUUCAGCUUCCACGGCCAUUGACUGGAAGUGCACACAUUGCCAGAGGUUAUUUUCCCGGCGUCUUAAAUGUCUAAAGACAGUUGCCAUGUUAUCAGAUAUAAUUGGAGAUAUUUAAAAGCACGGGUCUGAGAAUUUAAUUGAUUUUAGUAUUUGGAUUGGUCAAAUUAUCUCCAAUAGAAUUUCAAGUGCUGAUAGAUUCCAUGUAACAGCAAAUGCUGUUUGAGCUGUUUUGGCAAGUUCCCACUGAGUCAUUCACACUGAUUCAGUGUAGAACGAAUUGAAAGAUAAGACAAGUGCCAGCUAUUAUGAUACAAACAAACUGUGAUUUCUGACAAAAAAUAAGUUGGCUUUAGCUAAAGAAGGUUAUUUACAAAAAUAAUGUUAAUUUUAACAAUUGAGUGCCACUCAUUCAAACUCAACAUUCAACAAGCAAAUCACUGUAAUAAGAAACUAUAAACUGAACUGUGAGUGACAUGGUCCUCUGAAAAAUGUGUUGUAUAUGGCUGAUUUAGUUCUAAAGCAUUUUACCUCCCAAAAGAAUGAGUGAAUGUGACAUAAAAUCAAUCAUUGAUUGUCUGACAACUUGUCUAGGUUGUAUUCAUUUGCUUUACUUUAGAUGCUGUUUUGUGAAAACUGUCAUCACCAUUUUUGAGUUUGUCUUUGAAAAUCGGGAUUUAAGUACACAGGACAUCAAGAGGAAGCAUGAUACUAUUUGGAAUUUUCGUCUGCCCCGUCGUGACCGCUCGAGCCUGUGGAUUUCUGAACAUAACGCGCCAACCAAAUGGAGGUUUUUGGAUUUAAAAAGGAUCUUUAUGGAACAAAAGGAACAUUAUUUGUGUAACUGGGAGUCUCGUGAGUGCAAACAUCCGAAGAUCAUCAAAGUGCUAUCUAUGCUAUAAUAAUCUGGGGGCGAACACUGCAACAGUGUGGAUAGGCUUUCUGACACAGCCAGCUCUCCACAGACACCCAGAACACAGAGGCCGUUGUGAGCCACGGAACGAGGACAUCACAUCACAGCGUAGGGAGCCAGGGAUGGAAUGUGACCAGGGGCCUCAAACAGGAUCAGGUGCUCCAAACCCUGUCAAGACCAACUGAAGCCAGUCACCUUGGUACACUAAUACAUGUAAAUGGGCCUCUCCCUUUUCACUUUGACUCUUUCACACUAGAAUAUCAUUUUUUUUUUCAUUAAAUGUUUAGACUCUGAGGGAAGUUUGUUAUAAGGUGUUAGUGGAAUGUGCAAGUGGUGAGACCCCACAUCUGGCUUCUGUUACAAUACACUACAUCACGUUUAUUCAGUGUCAGGAUUCCCUGGGCUAAAGCCCUUAUCAUCGCCUUGAAACACCACCCUCUCAUCAGGAGGGUUCAGGGGUCAAACAGCUGCACUGCCCUUCUACUGUCAGAUUUAUAACACUGGGGAGGCCUUGAGACAUAGCUCACAUGUUCAUCCCUCAGCGUGUGACAGGAAACACUGACUCCUGGGUGCUGAAUUAACCCCUGUUGGCCUUAAAUAUCCUCCUGGCUCCAAUUUGAUAUUGUAAAUCUAAUCAAAUUAUGUUAAUGCAACAGUAUACACAGUUCAUUGUAAUUACCCGACGUCACAUAUUCUCAAAGUCCCCAAAUAAUGUGUUCUUGAUAUACUGUAUCUUCUUGUAUUAAUGAACUGUGCCAAAGGCCUUGCUGCAUAUUUCAAUAGAAGAGAAGGCAUUGGGCUGAAAAACAAGAAUAAUGUCUUAUCACUCUGUCCCACACUGUUUGAACAUUUAUACAGCGUUAGAGCUAUAAUUUCCAUGUCUUGCAGUACAAGGAAGAGAAGACUUCCUAACUGGAGAACGCACAGUCAUAAUUAGUUGUUUACUCAGAAGGGCUUGUCCUUCCUAAGACGUUGUGUUAAAUUCAACAGACAGGCUGUUUGAGGUAACUUGGUAAUUAAGCAGAAAGUGAGACAUAACAAGUCAGAAACAUAAUGCCUCUUUGAAUUUCUAACAUUGCUUUGGCUUGGAUCUGGCCCCUUACCCAUGGGCAUGCAACAUUUAAGUCUCUGUCUGGUUUUUGGCUUUUAGUCCACCCAGAUUUCCCCUGGCCUCUGUGUUAAUUCCUCAAAACACUUUUGUAGCGUGACCUGUUCAGUUGAAUUAUACAAGCCCAGAGUGCACACGGGCAGUUUGGAUGCCCCUGUACUGAACCCUGUACACAAUUUUUAUUUUAUUUAUCCUAAUUAAUUUGAGCUUUCAGAAUCCAUCCGUUUUCACUUCAUUGCUGCCUCUGGUGUCCUGCUCCUCUCAGACCUAGUUAAAGAAACACGUCCACUUUUUCACCAGAUGAGGGAUCUGUCUAUUAGACCUUCUGAGACUCUGAACCUUAUGAACACCGAUGUCGGUUAAUAGUCAGACGCUUUAAUGCAGAAAACCAGAGCACAAAGUGGAUCGAGGUAAGCUGGAGGAGCGAUGGGGGGGAUGGGCCUGGUUUGUCAAGGGCACCUCUAACAUUGAUUGGCCAUUUGAGACACCUUAUCCCUCGGUGUGGUGGAAAACAUAUUUCAGGGUAAAUGCAGUUAUAUCGAGAGGAUAAGUUGUAGAUAUAUAUAAAAUAUUCAAGCAUCCGAUGAAGCUUCAGUUUUUUUUUUCAGUUUUAGAGGGUAACUUGCCUUACAGUUCACUUUGUAGUGCAGGCAUAGAAAAAGCACAUGGGUAUUCUGAUAUUGUCACACCCUGAUCUGUUUCACUUAUCUUUGUGGUUGUCUCCACCCCCCUCCAGGUGUCGCCCAUCUUACCCAUUAUCCCCUGUGUAUUUAUACUUGUGUUCUCCUUUUGUCUGUUGCCAGUUCGUCUUGUUUGUCAAGUCAACCAGCUUUUUGUGUCUCAGCUCCUGCUGUGCCCAGUCUCACUUUUUCUCACCCUCCUGGUUUUGUCCCUUGCCUUUCUGGACUGAGCCCGCCUGCCUGACCACUCUGCCUGCCCCUGAGCCUGCCUGCUGACCUGUACCUUUGCCUCACCUCUGGAUAAUUGAUCUCUGCCUACCCUGAGCCUGCCUGCUGUCGUGUACCGUUGCCCCACCUCUGGUUUACAGCUCCUGCCUGCCUUGACCUGUCUAUUGCCCCUGUUGGAUUAUUAAACCAUUGUUAAUUCGAUGUUGUCUGCAUCUGGGUCUUACCUUCAUACCUGAUAGACAUACCACACAAUAUUCCCUAAUGCAGUAUGUUUCCCACAGUUGAAAAAUCACACCUGGAUUCAAAGGUAAAUUGUUUGCCAUCUAUAAAGAGGAUUUGUCAG